rnacentral:rRNA from 1 species
UACGGAGGGUGCAAGCGUUAUCCGGAUUCACUGGGUUUAAAGGGUGCGUAGGCGGGCAGGUAAGUCAGUGGUGAAAUCUCCGGGCUUAACCCGGAACGUGCCGUUGAUACUAUCUGUCUUGAAUAUAGUGGAGGUGAGCGGAAUAUGUCAUGUAGCGGUGAAAUGCUUAGAUAUGACAUAGAACACCCAUUGCGAAGGCAGCUCGCUACACUAUCAUUGACGCUGAGGCACGAAAGCGUGGGGAUCAAACAGG